GACGAACGCUGGCGGCGUGCCUAAUACAUGCAAGUAGAACGCUGAAGGAGGAGCUUGCUUCUCUGGAUGAGUUGCGAACGGGUGAGUAACGCGUAGGUAACCUGCCUGGUAGCGGGGGAUAACUAUUGGAAACGAUAGCUAAUACCGCAUAAUAGUAGAUGUUGCAUGACAUUUGCUUAAAAGGUGCAAUUGCAUCACUACCAGAUGGACCUGCGUUGUAUUAGCUAGUUGGUGAGGUAACGGCUCACCAAGGCGACGAUACAUAGCCGACCUGAGAGGGUGAUCGGCCACACUGGGACUGAGACACGGCCCAGACUCCUACGGGAGGCAGCAGUAGGGAAUCUUCGGCAAUGGACGGAAGUCUGACCGAGCAACGCCGCGUGAGUGAAGAAGGUUUUCGGAUCGUAAAGCUCUGUUGUAAGAGAAGAACGAGUGUGAGAGUGGAAAGUUCACACUGUGACGUAUCUACCAGAAAGG
rnacentral:rRNA from 1 species